UGGGGAAUAUUGCACAAUGGGCGCAAGCCUGAUGCAGCGACGCCGCGUGGGGGAUGACGGCCUUCGGGUUGUAAACUCCUUUCGCUAGGGACGAAGCGUUUUUGUGACGGUACCUGGAGAAGAAGCACCGGCUAACUACGUGCCAGCAGCCGCGGUAAUACGUAGGGUGCGAGCGUUGUCCGGAAUUACUGGGCGUAAAGAGCUCGUAGGUGGUUUGUCGCGUCGUUUGUGUAAGCCCGCAGCUUAACUGCGGGACUGCAGGCGAUACGGGCAUAACUUGAGUGCUGUAGGGGAGACUGGAAUUCCUGGUGUAGCGGUGGAAUGCGCAGAUAUCAGGAGGAACACCGAUGGCGAAGGCAGGUCUCUGGGCAGUAACUGACGCUGAGGAGCGAAAGCAUGGGUAGCGAACAGG
rnacentral:rRNA from 1 species